GACGAACGCUGGCGGCGUGCUUAACACAUGCAAGUCGAACGGUAAGGCCCUGCUUUUGUGGGGUGCUCGAGUGGCGAACGGGUGAGUAACACGUAAGUAACCUGCCCUUUACUUUGGGAUAACUUCAGGAAACUGGAGCUAAUACCGCAUAAGAGCUCCUGCUGCAUGGUGGGUGUUGGAAAGUUUCGGCGGCUGGGGUAGGACGCGCGGCUUAGGAGCUUGUUGGUGGGGUAGUGGCGUACAAAGGCGUUGACGGGUAGCCGGCCUGAGAGGGUGACCGGCCACAGUGGGACUGAGAUAGGGCCCAGACGGCAACGGGAGGCAGGAGUGGGAAAUAUAGCAAGAUGGGCGGAAGCAGGAUGGAGCAACGCCGGGUGCGAGAGGACUGCCUUCGGGUUGGAAACCGCUUUAGCCUGUAACGAAGAGUGAGUGACGGUAAUGGAUAAAGAAGCACCGGCUAACUACGUG
rnacentral:rRNA from 1 species